GAUGGGUGUGGUGGUUCGUGCCUAUAGUCCCAGCUACUUGGGAGGCUGAGAUGGGAGGAUCGCUUGAGCCCAGGAGUUCUGGGCUGUAUCACACUAAGCCGAUCGGGUGUCCACAGUAAGUAUGGCAUCAAUAUGGUGACCUCCCAGGAACAGGGACCACCACGUUGCCUAGGGAGGGGUGAACCGGCCCAGGUCAGAAAUGGAGCAGGUCAAAACUCCGUGCUGAUCAGUAGUGGGAUCGCGCCUGUAAAUAGCCACUGCACUCCAGCCUGGGCAACAAAAUGAGACCCCGUCACUA
ensembl:misc_RNA Metazoa_SRP Metazoan signal recognition particle RNA